CCGUUCAGGAUGAACGCCAGCGGCAGGCCUAAUACAUGCAAGUCGAACGGUGUCUUCGGACAUAGUGGCGCACGGGUGCGUAACACGUAUGCAACCUACCUUACAUUGGGGGAUAGCCUUUCGAAAGGGAGAUUAAUACCGCAUAAGACAGUAACUAGGCAUCUAGUAGCUGUUAAAGAUUUAUCGAUGUAAGCUGGGCAUGCGUCCAAUUAGCUAGUUGGUGAGGUAACGGCUCACCAAGGCAAUGAUUGGUAGGGGAACUGAGAGGUCAAUCCCCCACACUGGCACUGAGAUACGGGCCAGACUCCUACGGGAGGCAGCAGUAGGGAAUAUUGGGCAAUGGACGCAAGUCUGACCCAGCCAUGCCGCGUGCAGGAUGAAGGCGUUAUGCGUUGUAAACUGCUUUUAUACAGGAAGAAACGACUCUUGCGAGAGGCAUUGACGGUACUGUAUGAAUAAGCACCGGCUAACUCCGUG
rnacentral:rRNA from 1 species